rnacentral:rRNA from 1 species
AUGCAGAAAGAUGAUCUUUGGACAACGCUUAAGGAAAAUUUCACCCUAUCGUUAGAGGAGGAUCCGGAGAAGCGAGUUAAAGAGCAAUUGAUCAAGUCUCAUGCUCUUAAGAAGAUGGCAGAACUAUUCAGGAGGUGGAAGAAUGAGCUGAAAACAGAGUUCGUCGACAAAGAAAAGACACCAGAAUUCACCGGAAAGUAUGAGAAGAUCAAAGAUCACUUGCCCGCAUUUGUGGCCCACAAGACAUCGGAAAAGAGUAAGAAGAUGUCAGCGACAAACAAGAAAAAUGCUGCGAAGAAGAAGCAUCAGCAUCGCAUGAGGUCAGGUGGCUACCUCAAAGCCUGA